GGGAGUGUUGGGUGCUGCGACAGACCUUGGGAUCCUCAGAGGCUGAGGAGGCCUUCUCUAGCCAAGGCCGGUCGAAACCACCUUGUUUGUGAUAGCCACACGAAUAACGGAGCUUUACAAGAUCCCUUAUACCCAAAAUAGAGGUGGCAGCAUUGGCUAGCAUCUCUGCGCCCCUUCGCCCUGCAUUCCGGCCUCUUCCUUUAGCCUCGGCGCGGCUUGCGUUCCGCGUGUACCAAGGGAAGUGGCGGCCGACCUGAGCGCGCUUUGGCG
rnacentral:lncRNA from 1 species